rnacentral:sRNA from 1 species
AAUGAAGAAGGUCAAUGAGCUGCAAGAUGAACUUACCAGAAUAAAGCAGAGACAAGAACCUGAAGUGGGUGAAAACUCUGCUGCUGCCAGGGUAAGUGAUUCCUUCUUCCUUUAUUCCAUCAGUUUUGGAAUCACUUCUUUU